AAGGAGUCUAAUAUGUGUGCGAGUUUUUGGGUGGCAAACCCAUGAGCGUAAUGAAAGUGAAUGCAGGUGGGAUCCGCAAGGAGCACCAUCGACCGGCCCUGAUGUUCUCGGAUGGGUCUGCGUAAGAGCAUAUAUGUUGGGACCCGAAAGAUGGUGAACUAUGCCUGAAUAGGGCGAAUCCAGAGGAAACUCUGGUGGAGGCUCGCAGCGGUUCUGACGUGCAAAUCGAUCGUCAGAUUUGGGUAUAGGGGCGAAAGACUAAUCGAACCAUCUAGUAGCUGGUUUCUGC
rnacentral:misc_RNA from 1 species